CAGGACGCGACUUUGGUAUCCUCCGUGUUUGGUUAAUUGACGGGAAGGAACAGCUCGGAGAUUUGACGGUUCUUCUCUGAGGUGUUGGUGUGGCUUAUUGCUCUGCUUCAGUUUCUGUCGUUGUUAAUAUGAAUGCGGUUGAUGGCCCAUUUUACUGGUGUUUUUAAUGGCGGCAAUGAACUCCUAGUGUUGUGAUCAAGAUUCGAGUGACUGUCCAAGAAGAAAGAGAUCAAGAAUUGAGUGAAGGUCCAAGAAGAAAGAGAUCAAGAACUGAGUGAGGGUCCAAGAAGAAAGAGAUCAAGAAUUGAGUGAGGGUCCAAGAAAUAAACUAAGAAUUUACAAGAAGAAGAAACCAAGGAAUGUGUGAGGGUCCAACAAUAAGUGAAUCAAGAAGAGUUCAAGGAUCAAAGAAUACUAGACGAAAGAAAGCUUACACUGCCAUUCUUCAGCAUAUGUACGAAUGAGGAAGAAAAUAAGACGAUUAUUUGUUAAAUGAAAAUCUUUUAUAAACUGUUUAUUAUAACAAAUCCCUGGGGAGCAACCCAGCUUCUUAAUCUCGCGCACUCCUUUCUUAGGUUAUUUCUACCCUUUUAAACGUACUGCAAUUUUUUUCUUCUUUCCUGCCCUUCUAAACCAUGCUUAUAUGCUCAAAUCUUUUUCAUGUAGUAAACUCCAGCUAUGAAAACCAGUCCUACCACCCUUGUAUACGGCAGAACUUAAUUCAUAUAAUAAACUAAGAGUCCUCAAACACUCUCCCACCGCGCUCGUAUGCUGCAGUAGUCAACUCUUAAGUCAGAACUUUUUCAGGUAGUUUAUCAAACUCUCUUCCACCACACUUAUGCUGCAAAACUUGUUCAUUUAAUCGAUUCGAAGUUCUCAAAUUCUGUGACCCACCAAGCUUAUAUACUGCAGAACUUGUUCACGUAGUCAAUUCUUAAGUUUUAAAAUUCUGUGAUGUAUUUUCUUAUGGCUUCCAGUGUCACCACACUCCUGCAAUAAAGGGGAAAAAAACCAACGUGACCUUGAAAAAAUAUGCUAAGAAAUAUUAACUGGAAAAACUUUCUACCCAGAACUUUCAUUAGAGAAGUUAAAUAAG